rnacentral:rRNA from 1 species
GACGAACGCUGGCGGCGUGCUUAACACAUGCAAGUCGAACGGAAAGGCCCUGCUUUUGUGGGGUGCUCGAGUGGCGAAAGGGUGAGUAACACGUGAGUAACCUGCCCUUGACUUUGGGAUAACUUCAGGAAACUGGGGCUAAUGCCGGAUAGGAGCUCCUGCUGCAUGGUGGGGGUUGGAAAGUUUCGGCGGUUGGGGAUGGACCCGCGGCUUAUCAGCUUGUUGGUGGGGUAGUGGCUUACCAAGGCUUUGACGGGUAGCCGGCCUGAGAGGGUGACCGGCCACAUUGGGACUGAGAUACGGCCCAGACUCCUACGGGAGGCAGCAGUGGGGAAUAUUGCACAAUGGGCGGAAGCCUGAUGCAGCAACGCCGCGUGCGGGAUGACGGCCUUCGGGUUGUAAACCGCUUUCGCCUGUGACGAAGCGUGAGUGACGGUAAUGGGUAAAGAAGCACCGGCUAACUACGUG